rnacentral:rRNA from 1 species
CUACGGGAGGCAGCAGUGGGGAAUAUUGGACAAUGGGCGCAAGCCUGAUCCAGCCAUGCCGCGUGAGUGAUGAAGGCCUUAGGGUUGUAAAGCUCUUUUACCAGGGAAGAUAAUGACUGUACCUGGAGAAUAAGCCCCGGCUAACUUCGUGCCAGCAGCCGCGGUAAU